rnacentral:rRNA from 1 species
AGUGAACGCUGGCGGUAGGCCUAACACAUGCAGGUCGAACGGCAGCACAGUAAGAGCUUGCUCUUACGGGUGGCGAGUGGCGGACGGGUGAGGAAUACAUCGGAAUCUACUUUUUCGUGGGGGAUAACGUAGGGAAACUUACGCUAAUACCGCAUACGACCUACGGGUGAAAGCAGGGGAUCUUCGGACCUUGCGCGAUUGAAUGAGCCGAUGUCGGAUUAGCUAGUUGGCGGGGUAAAGGCCCACCAAGGCGACGAUCCGUAGCUGGUCUGAGAGGAUGAUCAGCCACAUGGGAACUGAGACACGGUCCAGACUCCUACGGGAGGCAGCAGUGGGGAAUAUUGGACAAUGGGCGCAAGCCUGGUCCAGCCAUACCGCGUGUGUGAAGAAGGCCUUCGGGUUGUAAAGCCCUUUUGUUGGGAAAGAAAAGCAGCAGGUUAAUACCCCGCGGUUCUGACGGUACCCAAAGAAUAAGCACCGGCUAACUUCGUG